GAUGAACGCUGGCGGCGUGCCUAAUACAUGCAAGUCGAGCGAACGGACGAGAAGCUUGCUUCUCUGAUGUUAGCGGCGGACGGGUGAGUAACACGUGGAUAACCUACCUAUAAGACUGGGAUAACUUCGGGAAACCGUAGCUAAUACCGGAUAAUAUUUUGAACCGCAUGGUUCAAUAGUGAAAGACGGUCUUGCUGUCACUUAUAGAUGGAUCCGCGCUGCAUUAGCUAGUUGGUAAGGUAACGGCUUACCAAGGCAACGAUGCGUAGCCGACCUGAGAGGGUGAUCGGCCACACUGGAACUGAGACACGGUCCAGACUCCCACGGGAGGCCGCAGUAGGGAAUCUUCCGGAAUGGGCGAAAGCCUGACGGAGCAACGCCGCGUGAGUGAUGAAGGUCCUCGGAUCGUAAAACUCUGUUAUUAGGGAAGAACAAAUGUGUAAGUAACUGUGCACAUCUUGACGGUACCUAAUCAGAAAGCCACGGCUAACUACGUG
rnacentral:rRNA from 1 species